GUGGGGAAUAUUGGACAAUGGGCGCAAGCCUGAUCCAGCCAUGCCGCGUGAGUGAUGAAGGCCCUAGGGUUGUAAAGCUCUUUCACCGGUGAAGAUAAUGACGGUAACCGGAGAAGAAGCCCCGGCUAACUUCGUGCCAGCAGCCGCGGUAAUACGAAGGGGGCUAGCGUUGUUCGGAAUUACUGGGCGUAAAGCGCACGUAGGCGGGUAUUUAAGUCAGGGGUGAAAUCCCAGAGCUCAACUCUGGAACUGCCUUUGAUACUGGGUACCUAGAGUAUGGAAGAGGUAAGUGGAAUUCCGAGUGUAGAGGUGAAAUUCGUAGAUAUUCGGAGGAACACCAGUGGCGAAGGCGGCUUACUGGUCCAUUACUGACGCUGAGGUGCGAAAGCGUGGGGAGCAAACAGGAUUAGAAACCCUUGUAGUCC
rnacentral:rRNA from 1 species